GAACGCUGGCGGCGUACUUAACACAUGCAAGUCGAACGAGGAUCAUCGGGUUAGCAAUAAUUCGGUGGUCCUAGUGGCGUACGGGUGAGUAACACGUGGGUAACCUGCCCUCGAGUCCGGGAUACCCUCUCGAAAGGGAGGCUAAUACUGGAUACGUUCCCUGGGGCGCAAGACCUGGGGAGGAAAGGUAGCGAAAGCUGCCGCUCUUGGAGGGGCUCGCGGCCUAUCAGCUAGUUGGUGAGGUAACGGCUCACCAAGGCUAUGACGGGUAGCUGGUCUGAGAGGACGACCAGCCACACGGGAACUGAGACACGGUCCCGACUCCUACGGGAGGCAGCAGUGGGGAAUUUUCCGCAAUGGGCGAAAGCCUGACGGAGUGACGCCGCGUGGGGGACGAAGGCCUUCGGGCCGUAAACCCCUGUCAGAGGGAAAGAAGGGUGCUGGCGUGAAUAGCGCCGGCAUCUGACGGUACCUUCAGAGGAAGCCCCGGCCAACUCUGUGCCAGCAGCCGCGGUAAGACAGAGGGGGCAAGCGUUGCUCGGAAUCACUGGGCGUAAAGGGCGCGUAGGCGGGAUGGCAAGUCGGUCGUGAAAUCCUUCGGCUC
rnacentral:rRNA from 1 species